UAGCUUAUGCAGUGGUAGUAUCAUUUGAUGAAGUUUUUCUGAGGUGCAAUUAUUGCUAACUGAAAACUUUUCCCAAUAUCCCACUAAGAUGACUUGCAGUGUAUUCAGCAUUGACAAUUUUUGACAAUGUCUAUGGAGA